UUUAAUCUUCAGGGCAGGGUGAAAUUCCCGACCGGCAGUGAUAGUCUGCGAGCUUUGGCACAACCGAAGCAGGAUUUGGUGAAAUUCCAAAACCGACAGUAAAAGUCUGGAUGGGAGAAGAGUAAG
rnacentral:ncRNA from 2 species